GGGCCUACAGCGAAGUGCAACGAUGCUGCAGCAGAGAUUGCACUCCAAACCUCAUUUUCCCUUGGCAAGAGGAUGUCGCUUCUACAGCAGUUGGCAAGCCAAGAGCCCAGCACCGCUGGAGAACCAGCUCUGUGGGGUCAGAGGAAGAGCAGAACAAACCCUUCUCUGCAGACCUCCCACUGCUGCCUGCAGGUGCAGUCCUGCUGCCAGGCCCAGGCAUGCUGGACCUGCUGCUGUAUGAUGUGACAUCGUGAAAAAUUAUAUAGUAGUAGUGGUGAGUCAUAGCCACAGUCAUUUUGAUUUUAUGUGCCAUGAUGAAAUUGGGGUGUUUCAGGACAAGAGAGUGCUCCUCUCCGUGGUCCUUCCUUCCCCUGUGGCCAGCAGAGCAGCGGGUGUUGGGUGCAUGUGCCAGAGCCUGUGCUGCCUGUGGGAUGGUGCUGCAGGGGCAGCUAUGAAGAAACAGAAGUAAUUAUCAGCAAACGGUGUGUCCUGGCUGGUGGUGUGACUGUCAGCAGCCUGGCUGAGAUGGCCAGAGUGUUCCUGAGGCACUGUUAUCUCUUCUGAAGGCAGAGGGAAGUGAUAAGACUCAGAUGGUGCCAUUCAUGGUCCCUCAACAACCAGUGCAAGUGUGAGUCCCUUUGAAGUUUACUGGUGACCCUGCUGAGAUCAAUACCCUUGGCUGGCAAAGAGUGGGGAGAGAAUCAGGCAGAGACCUGGGGAAAAGGACUUUGAAAAUAAAAACCCAUAUCUUUUCAGGCUCAGGGGAGAAAUGUUACCUCCCAGCCCCAAGAGCCAGGUCCUGGGCUAGUCCCCAGAGAGCCAAACACACACAAGAAGGGCUGUGAUUGAAAUCCCUCUCCUUGUGUUUUGCUGCUGCUGUUUGAAACCAACUCUGUUUGCUUUCAGAAGUGCUGUUUUGUGUUUCUGCAGUGACAUGUGAAUCCCAAUCUUGCUGGAAAGCAGCAGAAUGGGCACCCCAGGACCUGGUCUGAUGUGCGCUGAGGCCUCCCUCAUCACUGGCAGGACAGACUGGGUGCUGGCUCAGCCUGCCCCCUCUCAGAUGGCCCUAUGAGCUGCCAAGGGGGAUGUGGAUCUGUGCAAACUCUCAAGCUGAGCCCUGCCCUGGCGCUGGAUGGCCCCACAUUCACCCCUUCUCUUCCUGUGACGGGGACAAGGACCUUGCCAGCUGCCCAACAAGAUUCAGUGGGGCUCAUCUGCUGGAGCCCCCAGACUAUGAGGAGGGUCAAAGGUAGCACAGGCUGCCCUCAGCAAUCCGGAUAUUAACAGGGUUGCAACACCAGUUAGAAGAAUUUGAAGGGUCAAAUUCCACUGCAGUGUAACAUCGUUGAACUCGGCUGUUUUAGACCUCCAGCGAAUCUGGAGCAGCGUUUUGGAAGGGUGACACCUUAACACAGACCUGUUUAAAGGAGUUAAUGUGUGACUGGCCCCAAACCAGCUGGAGCAGGCAGAUGGCUUGCCCUGCUGGAGCUGGUUUUGGCAGCUGGGACCCUGUGCAGUUCUCAGCGAUGCUGAUGUGAAUCCAGAAGAAAGCAGCUGAGAGCAGAAGGAUUGCAGUUGGUUUGCAUCAUCUGCAGAGCAGGAUUAGCCCUUUUUUUAUUGCAGAUUCCCAGAAGAUGGCUACCCUGGGCUUUCUCUGGAUAUGUAUGUCCAUAUUCUGAAAUGCAGCCAACUUCCUGCUACUAAAAUAAACCUCACAAAUGCACCAUGUCUGGAACUGUCGCAAUUAAGAGCUACCAAAUAAGAAAAUAGUCAGGACACAAUGGAUUUAUGUCAAACACUGAACUGUUUGAAGUGUGUCCCUUUCCUUUAAGAGACCCUACUGCUGGCUAGUGUCCAGAUGCCAUGGAAAAUCUGCUCCCCUCUGUGCAAUGUGGAAUUCAGGAUACAGCUAAAUUAAACAUUAAAGAGCCUUUUGCAGUCAAAUUAGUUUUUAUUUGUGUCACACUAUAGGAUCAGCUGAUGGGUGUAUAUCCCCCAGCUCAGUGUCAUUGGUGCUGGGCAGAAGCCACAAAGCCUGAUGAGCUUGGAAUCACAGAAUCAUUUAGGUUGGAAAAGCCCUCUGAGAGCGAGUCCAGCCAUUAACUCAGCACUGCCAGGUUACCCCGUGUCUGUGAGCGCCACAUCCACGCGGUUUUCGAACACUUCCAGGGAUGGUGACUCUACCACUGCCCUGGGCAGCCUGUUCCAGGGCUGGACAACCCUUUUGGUGAAGAAUUUUUCCCAAAUACCCAACCUAGACCUCUCAGGGACAUUUCCUCUUGUGCUAUCACUUGUCACCUGGGAGAAGAGACUGACCCCCCCCACACACACCUGGCUACAAUUUGUUUCCAGGUAGUUCUAUAGCACGAUAAGGUCCCCCCUGAGCCACUUUUUCUCCUCGGUCCCAUCCCGGGGUGGCUCGUGCGCGGUGUCCCCGGCAGGUGGCACUGGAGCCCCGCAGGUCCCUCCAGGCGCUCCCGCAGCACCGGGAGCAGCACCGAGGACGGGAGGGGACGGAGAGGGGGGGGAUCCGGACCCCCUUUUCCAGCCGUUCUUGUCUCCGCCCCUCGGGCUCAGCACUCUGACCCUGCCUCGUUCCGUGAGUAUUUGUAAUUUUCCGUGCCGACAAGACCCUAAUGGGCAUCGGGUGUUUGUUAAAAAUCCGGGGGAAAUCACAAUGUUUGCCAAAUAUGGUCCAAAUAUAUGCCAAAUAUUUGGCAAAUACUUUGGAAGAAUGUUUGCUAAAUAGUGAAAAAUGCAAUAUAUACACUAGUCAAAGGGGAUGCAAUAUGAAAAAAACAGUACACAGAAAAAAAAGGAAUAGGAGUUAGAAAAGUGCAGGUGGGCACUAUAUAGACAAGAAACUGCUUGUUAAAAGCCCUGGGGUGUUGUCUUGGCUCUCUAAUACCGAUGUCUCAAGUUGGUUCUCAAAUGGGCAACCUGAAGCCAUGAUUUUGCUGUGGAACCAGCACCUAGGCAGACACUCAGCCACUCACCAUGGUGUAACCUCAGUUCAGUCACACCUCACCUUGUGAUAUUGUUCAGUAAUAACAGCUGCUUUUUAUUUUAUUGUUCCUUAAGAGAGAGAAAUGCUUUUGACUUGUUCUGUAUUUCAGAGCAUCUUCCUCCUGCUUUGUUCACUAAAGAUGGGGCCAGACAUAUUAACUGCAGUUGUAAAUAUUAUUUUUACAACAGCAGAAUAUUUAUCUUGCUGCAUGGGUUGGUCGAGUUCGGGGCUGCAGACUUAAAAAACAGCUUCCUUGCCCUGAAGAGCCCAGAUACUUAAUUAAGGCAGAUAAGGCAGGACAAAUAAAAACAAGACAAAACUCCUCUUGCUUUGAACCACCUCUAGGGAGCAGGUCUUGGCAAAAGAAAAGAGGGAUUGUAAAGCUGUAAUAAUAAUAAUAAUGAUAAUUAAUUGUAUUUAUAAAGCAUCCCCUAAUGGCUCUGGAUGCUACACAACGAUUUUAAAUACAACUGAAAGCAGCAACCAUUACGAGAAGCCAAAUAAGGAAGGGCUUUAAAAAUAAAGGUGUUUUUUAUAGUAGAUAGUAAGGUUUCAGUGGGCUGGUUUGGGGCUCUCCUGCAGCGUGGACACACGGACAUCAGUCGGAAGCAGCUGAGGAUCCUGCAGUGAAUUCUACAGGCUUGCAGAUUGCAGGCUUUGAUUGCAAAGAGCAAAUACAUUUUACAGCCUGGUUUGCAUGUCACCAUUUCUGCUUUAUUUCCUUUCUGUACUCCAGCCAGCCAGACGGUGUAACUCAACGCAGCCCAAUUUACUUUAAUAUUUCUGCAUUGGCUUGCAGGUUUUUCUGCCCUCAUUUGUUAGGGGUAAACA